AGGCUGUGUGAAGCUGAGAGUUUGAACUGAUUUUCAGGCUGAAAUGCAGCUCCUGUGGAGGUAUUGGGUGUGAAGGUGGGUGUGGCACACCAAUGAGUCUGUGUGUGUGCGUGCGAACAUGCCUGCGCGUGUGUAAAGGCGGUUGCUAUGGGCCCCCAUAGCAACGGUGCCUGCCACAGACAGCAAAAAAGUGCUUCUCAGCAGCACCGCGCAACAUCUCGUUCUGGCGCUAACUGUGGGCUAACCGUGAAUGCUAGCUGAAAACCGAAAUGACCGUGAGCGAGAGGAAGGCUGUGGCUUUCCAUAAAUGUAAUUAUUUUCCAAAUAUUGUGAGAAAUGACCGAGUUACAGCGAUUUAAAAAACAUUGUCCCUCCAUGAGGCAGAUGAUUCAGUUUACAUUGGUUCUUAUGGAGAGAACGGUGCGACUUUUGUCUAAACUGCUGCCUGCCAUUUCACUUCAGAAAGAGCUAGGUCUUCAAACUUGGAUUCAUUUGAACCCCAGGAAAUUUGUCUACAAUCUGACCAAAUUUCAUUCCCCUGACAUUUAUCGUUUGGUCGUGAGGGCGAUGCGAUCGGGAAAUUUUCAGGCGGAUUUUUCACCUCUCCUCCACUCUACCAACUGACAUGCCGCACUCUAACCAGAGCAGAUUUUGAGAAUUUUCACUUUUUUGAGGACUCACUGAUGAAAAACUGUAAAUCUCAGCCUGACAUAAACUACAUUCCUGCGGAGACAAGAAAAAUCACUGCGUUUUGAUGGUUAAAUGAAGUUUCUAGGUGAACGUAUGGCGAAGCAGUGGCGUUUGGAAAAAAGUGGAUUUUUUGAGCCGAUUUUUUUCACUCCCCAUUCAUUUCCUAUGGGACUUUUUUCGCAGUUUUUUGCGAAUAAUUCUGCGAUAAAAUGACGAAUGUCUUAGAAAAGUCAUAGCACACUA